GAUGAACGCUAGCGGCAGGCUUAACACAUGCAAGUCGAGGGGCAGCAUACCCAGCAAUGGGUGAUGGCGACCGGCGGAAGGGUGCGUAACGCGUGAGCAACAUACCCUAUACAGGGGGAUAAGCCAGGGAAACUUGGUCUAAUAUCCCAUAGGAAAUAGAUAAGGCAUCUUGUUUAUUUUAAAGCUUCGGUGGUAUAGGAUUGGCUCGCGUGACAUUAGCUAGAUGGAGGGGUAACGGCCCACCAUGGCAAUGAUGUCUAGGGGUUCUGAGAGGAAGAUCCCCCACACUGGGACUGAGACACGGCCCAGACUCCUACGGGAGGCAGCAGUGAGGAAUAUUGGACAAUGGAUGGAAAUCUGAUCCAGCCAUGCCGCGUGCAGGAAGACGGCCCUAUGGGUUGUAAACUGCUUUUAUACGGGAGCAAUAAGGUCUAUGCAUAGAUUGAUGAGAGUACCGUAUGAAUAAGCAUCGGCUAAC
rnacentral:rRNA from 1 species